GAUGAUUAUCAAGUGCCUUGCAGCAUUUUCGCCGGUGAUGGAAUGUUGAGGCUUCUAUAGUAAUUAACAAUGUUUAAGUUAUGCAUUGGUGAUAUAAGGGGAGAGGACCAAGGCAUAUAUUUUGAGAGGUCAUAGCACUCCUGAGGUUCUUCCUAAGAGAUGGAUGACAGUCAUAAAAAAACAGAUGGCAAGUUAUAGAAAAAUGGAUGAACUCUUGCUUGUGUCUUUGAAGGAUUUUAUCCAAAUCUUGAGUUUGUG